UACGUAGGGUGCAAGCGUUAAUCGGAAUUACUGGGCGUAAAGCGUGCGCAGGCGGUUGUGCAAGACAGAUGUGAAAUCCCCGGGCUUAACCUGGGAAUUGCGAUGGAGACUGCAAGGCUAGAAUCUGGCAGAGGGGGGUAGAAUUCCACGUGUAGCAGUGAAAUGCGUAGAGAUGUGGAGGAACACCGAUGGCGAAGGCAGCCCCCUGGGUCAAGAUUGACGCUCAUGCACGAAAGCGUGGG
rnacentral:rRNA from 1 species